CUGGCCGGUGCCGGCGGCCUCCUCCGUAACCCGGGAAUGAAAGGGGCCUUUUGAUGGCUCCAGCUGAAAAGAUAUUUUAUUUUCGUUUAUUUUCCCGUGUGUGGGGUGUGAGACGUGCGGCUCUGAGCGGCUCUGAGAGGCGGCCGGGCCCCCUGCUGCUUGCUGGGCUGGCCGCCGGCCCCCCUCUGGCGAAUGUUAUGGAGAAUCCGGAGGCUUCUGUGCCCGGCUCCCCCCUCACCCCUUUCUUCUUUUGUCUUCUUUGAAGAAUGACUUUAGACGUUUUAUUUACAUAUUUAACCGCGGAUGAAAGAGGGGCCAGGCCGCGUUUGGGGGCUGCCGUGGGAAUAGCGAGGGCUCUAAAUUAAUGGAAAUCUCAUUAGGCCUCUCACAUUUUCAGCGAGAAACUUGAUAAUGAAACAUGAUUUCAAAUAACGGGCAGGGGCGAGGAGUAUUUUUUGUUCUACCCUCUGCCCCCCACCACCUACAACAGACAUAUCUCUCUUGGAAAAUUCUACACUUACACAUUCGCUACCUUCGGGUUCUUGGGCUUGUUCUCUCAGCAAAGCACGGGGUUUUGAAAGGGGACCAUCCCAGGAGUCGGGCACGGCCUCCAGUGAGGGCUACACUGUUUGCUUGUUUGUUUUUGGUGGACGAGGAUGGAAGGGGUGGCCCCGAGGCUCCCUCCCUCCCAGCAGAGUGAAAAGUGUGAGCUACGUGGACACGGAGAUCGCGGGAAAGCAAAGGCGUGGCUCUUCCCAGGACAUCGCCGUCCCUGCGGUUGGUUAGAAUCGCCGCUGCCGGAGGGCGGUUUUCUGAACCCAGAUGAGAGCAAGCCCAGGUCACCUCCUUAAGAGAAAGACCUACCGACCCGUCCGGCCACAGAGAGAAAGGCCCGGCUUUGGAUCCUCUCGGAGAGCCGGCUCCCCACGGCUCCGGCCUUGCUUCCCACACUCCCCAAAACAACAGCCCGGCGGACACCCUCCAACCAAAUUAGAUUAAACUCCUCUCCGCGG